GACGAACGCUGGCGGCGUGCUUACCACAUGCAAGUCGAACGAAGUGGCGAACGGGUGAGUAACGCGUAAUCAACCUGCCCUUCAGAGGGGGACAACAGUUGGCAACGACUGAUAAUACCGCAUACUGAGGGAGGGGAUGGCGGCUGAUCAGCUGGUUGGCGGGGUAACGGCCAACAAAGGCGAUUAGACGUAGCCGUUCUGAGAGGAUGAACGGCAUCAGUGGGACUGAGACACGGCCCAGACUCCUACGGGAGGCAGCAGUGGGGAAUCUUCCGCAAUGGACGAAAGUCUGACGGAGCAACGCCGCGUGAGUGAUGACGGCCUUCGGGUUGUAAAGCGCUGUUAAUCGGGACGCGGUACCGGAAUAGAAAGCCACGGCUAACUACGUGCCAGCCGCCGCGGUAAUAC
rnacentral:rRNA from 1 species